ACGGGAGGCAGCAGUGGGGAAUAUUGGGCAAUGGGGGAAACCCUGACCCAGCAACGCCGCGUGAGUGAAGAAGUAUUUCGGUAUGUAAAGCUCUAUCAGCAGGGAAGAAAGAAAUGACGGUACCUGACUAAGAAGCCCCGGCUAACUACGUGCCAGCAGCCGCGGUAAUACGUAGGGGGCAAGCGUUAUCCGGAUUUACUGGGUGUAAAGGGAGCGUAGACGGUGAAGCAAGUCUGAAGUGAAAGGUUGGGGCUCAACCCCGAAACUGCUUUGGAAACUGUUUGACUGGAGUACAGGAGAGGUAAGUGAAAUUCCUAGUGUAGCGGUGAAAUGCGUAGAUAUUAGGAGGAACACCAGUGGCGAAGGCGGCUUACUGGACUGUAACUGACGUUGAGGCUCGAAAGCGUGGGGAGCAAACAGGAUUAGAUACCCUGGUA
rnacentral:rRNA from 1 species